AACGAACGCUGGCGGCAUGCCUAACACAUGCAAGUCGAACGAGACCUUCGGGUCUAGUGGCGCACGGGUGCGUAACGCGUGGGAACCUGCCCUUAGGUUCGGAAUAACUCCCCGAAAGGGGUGCUAAUACCGGAUAAUGUCUUCGGACCAAAGAUUUAUCGCCUUUGGAUGGGCCCGCGUUGGAUUAGCUAGUUGGUAGGGUAAAAGCCUACCAAGGCGACGAUCCAUAGCUGGUCUGAGAGGAUGAUCAGCCACACUGGGACUGAGACACGGCCCAGACUCCUACGGGAGGCAGCAGUGGGGAAUAUUGGACAAUGGGCGAAAGCCUGAUCCAGCAAGGGCGCGUGAGUGAUGAAGGCCUUAGGGUUGUAAAGCUCUUUUACCCGGGAUGAUAAUGACAGUACCGGGAGAAUAAGCUCCGGCUAACUCCGUG
rnacentral:rRNA from 1 species